GCUGGGAUAGCUCAGUUGGUAGAGCAUGAGACUCCUGAUCUCAAGGUUGUGGGUUCGAGCCCUAUGUUGGGCA